rnacentral:lncRNA from 1 species
AGAGCCACUGAGCCGCCCCACCUGGGGCUCCAGUUCCUGGGGACAGUCAGAGUGCAGCACCUCUCACAGCAAGCAGAGCGAGGCCAAGACAUGUGGAGAAGCCUGCCAAUCCCUCAGGAUACAUUCUCUGAGCACUCGACUUGGUGGGAGUUUCAGGAAAUUCUGCAACAAGGCAGAGGGAGGAGGCUGGGAGAAGUUGAGAGAAAUGCUCAGACAGUAUGGGGGAGGAGGAGGCAAUCUGGAAAUCUUGCACUGAAAAAGGGCUGUCUGAUGGAUUAAAUAGUGUCGUGAAUGUGAAAGAGCUCUAUACGCCAUUCAGUGCAAAGAAGAUAUGAAGAAUUUCUUUUCUUUCCUUUUUUUUU